rnacentral:rRNA from 3 species
ACAGUGUCUGGUGGGUAGUUUGACUGGGGCGGUCUCCUCCUAAAGAGUAACGGAGGAGCACGAAGGUUGGCUAAUCCUGGUCGGACAUCAGGAGGUUAGUGCAAUGGCAUAAGCCAGCUUGACUGCGAGCGUGACGGCGCGAGCAGGUGCGAAAGCAGGUCAUAGUGAUCCGGUGGUUCUGAAUGGAAGGGCCAUCGCUCAACGGAUAAAAGGUACUCCGGGGAUAACAGGCUGAUACCGCCCAAGAGUUCAUAUCGACGGCGGUGUUUGGCACCUCGAUGUCGGCUCAUCACAUCCUGGGGCUGAAGUAGGUCCCAAGGGUAUGGCUGUUCGCCAUUUAAAGUGGUACGCGAGCUGGGUUUAGAACGUCGUGAGACAGUUCGGUCCCUAUCUGCCGUGGGCGCUGGAGAACUGAGGGGGGCUGCUCCUAGUACGAGAGGACCGGAGUGGACGCAUCACUGGUGUUCGGGUUGUCAUGCCAAUGGCACUGCCCGGUAGCUAAAUGCGGAAGAGAUAAGUGCUGAAAGCAUCUAAGCACGAAACUUGCCCCGAGAUGAGUUCUCCCUGAGACUUAGAGUCUCCUGAAGGAACGUUGAAGACGACGACGUUGAUAGGCCGGGUGUGUAAGCGCAGCGAUGCGUUGAGCUAACCGGUACUAAUGAACCGUGAGGCUUAACCUUACAACGCCGAA